rnacentral:rRNA from 1 species
UACAUAGGGUGCAAGCGUUGUCCGGAAUUAUUGGGCGUAAAGAGCUCGUAGGCGGUUUGUCGCGUCUGCUGUGAAAACUCGGGGCUCAACUCCGAGCUUGCAGUGGGUACGGGCAGACUAGAGUGCGGUAGGGGAGACUGGAAUUCCUGGUGUAGCGGUGGAAUGCGCAGAUAUCAGGAGGAACACCGGUGGCGAAGGCGGGUCUCUGGGCCGUAACUGACGCUGAGGAGCGAAAGCAUGGGGAGCGAACAGG